UACGAAGGGUGCAAGCGUUAAUCGGAAUUACUGGGCGUAAAGCGUGCGCAGGCGGUUUGUUAAGUCUGUUGUGAAAUCCCCGAGCUCAACUUGGGAAUUGCAAUGGAUACUGGCAGGCUGGAGUAUGGUAGAGGAAGGUGGAAUUCCCGGUGUAGCAGUGAAAUGCGUAGAGAUCGGGAGGAACACCAGUGGCGAAGGCGGCCAUCUGGGACAACACUGACGCUGAAGCACGAAAGCGUGGGGAGCAAACAGG
rnacentral:rRNA from 1 species